AACUACCUACGGGACGCAGCAGUAGGGAAUCUUCCACAAUGGGCGAAAGCCUGAUGGAGCAACGCCGCGUGGGUGAAGAAGGUCUUCGGAUCGUAAAACCCUGUUGUUAGAGAAGAAAGUGCGUGAGAGUAACUGUUCACAUUUCGACGGUAUCUAACCAGAAAGCCACGGCUAACUACGUGCCAGCAGCCGCGGUAAUACGUAGGUGGCAAGCGUUAUCCGGAUUUAUUGGGCGUACAGGGAACGCAGGCGGUCUUUUAAGUCUGAUGUGAAAGCCUUCGGCUUAACAGGAGGAGUGCAUGGGA
rnacentral:rRNA from 1 species